rnacentral:rRNA from 1 species
AGCAGCCGCCACGGGAAAACGGAGGGGGCUAGCGUUGUUCGGAAUUACUGGGCGUAAAGCGCACGUAGGCGGCUUGGUAAGUUAGAGGUGAAAGCCCGGAGCUCAACUCCGGAAUUGCCUUUAAGACUGCCGAGCUAGUAGGUGAGAGAGGUAAGUGGAAUUCCGAGUGUAGAGGUGAAAUUCGUAGAUAUUCGGAAGAGCACCAGUGGCGAAGGCGGCUUACUGGCUCAUUCUAGACGCUGAGGUGCGAAAGCGUGGGGAGCAAACAGGAUUAGAUACCCGCGUAGUCCCUGUCUCUUAUAA